GAUGAAGAACGUAGCGAAAUGCGAUACGUAAUGUGAAUUGCAGAAUUCAGUGAAUCAUCGAGUCUUUGAACGCACAUUGCGCCCCCUGGUAUUCCGGGGGGCAUGCCUGUCCGAGCGUCAUUGCUGCCCUCAAGCACGGCUUGUGUGUUGGGCCUCCGUCCUCCUCCCGGGGGACGGGCCCGAAAGGCAGCGGCGGCACCGCGUCCGGUCCUCGAGCGUAUGGGGCUUCGUCACCCGCUCUUGGAGGCCCGGCCGGCGCUUGCCGACACAUCAAUCUUUUUUCCAGGUUGACCUCGGAUCAGGUAGGGAUACCCGCUGAACUUAAGCAUAUCAAUAAGCGGAGGA
rnacentral:misc_RNA from 1 species